rnacentral:rRNA from 1 species
UGCCAGACUCCUACGGGAGGCAGCAGUGGGGAAUAUUGCACAAUGGGGGAAACCCUGAUGCAGCGACGCCGCGUGAGUGAGGAAGUAUUUCGGUAUGUAAAGCUCUAUCAGCAGGGAAGAAAAUGACGGUACCUGACUAAGAAGCCCCGGCUAACUACGUGCCAGCAGCCGCGGUAAUACGUAGGGGGCAAGCGUUAUCCGGAUUUACUGGGUGUAAAGGGAGCGUAGACGGCUGUGCAAGCCAGAUGUGAAAGCCCGGGGCGCAACCCCGGGACUGCAUUUGGAACUGUGUGGCUGGAGUGUCGGAGAGGCAGGCGGAAUUCCUAGUGUAGCGGUGAAAUGCGUAGAUAUUAGGAGGAACACCAGUGGCGAAGGCGGCCUGCUGGACGAUGACUGACGUUGAGGCUCGAAAGCGUGGGGAGCAAACAGGAUUAGAUACCCUUGUAA